CAUUGGAGUUGGAGGGCAUAUUUUCAACUGAAAUUGAGAUGUUAUGAAAUAGUAAUACUAAUACUAAUUAGUGCUAGUAGAAGUGUCAUCUGAGUUUACGUAGCCGUCUCGAGUGCUACAUAAUAUAUUAAUGUUAAAUUAAUAGUAGCUACUACCUGUUUUGAAUAUCUAGUGAAAAUUCUAGUGAAUAUAUGGUAUAACAAUAAGUUUCACACUAAUAGGAACAAAAAAAGAUUUUUUGAGAAGGUUAUGUAAACAACUUAAAGAGUCAACUCUAAACCAAAAUAUUUUUGGCGUUAGUAGCAGUUGUCUUAUUCUGAUUACAUUUGCCAAGUUUCAGUUCAUGUUCGAAAUUGAAACAUCCGAAUAUCAAUGAACCGGGAAAUAAAGAAAACAAAAAAUUUUUAAAAUCAAAAAAUUGAAGUCCGAAAAGUGAAAAAAUCGAAAAAUUGAAAUAUCCAAAAAUCAAAAGAUCCAGAAAUUGAAAAGGUAACCAAAAUUUAAAUGUGGAAAAACGUUGGAAACGACCUAAUUCACCGGGUACUCCAGAUACCCAACGGGAAAAAUUGCUUUUCGAAAAAUUAAACUAUCCAAAAAUUGAAAAAUUCCCAAAAUUGAAAUGUUAAAAAAUCGAAAAAUUUAAAUAUAAAAAAGCUCAAAAAUUACAAAUUUAAAAAGUCGAGAAAAAUGUAAAUUUUAUAAAUUCGAAAAAUUGAAAAAUAAGAAAUGGAAACAUCAAAACAUCGAAAAAUUCGAUCGAAAAACCUCGAAAAUGAAAAAUCGAAUCGGCCCAAAUCGAAAAGUUCAAAACUGAAAAAUAUAAAAUAAAAAAGACGAUAAAUCAAGAAAUUGAACAAUCAAAAAAAUCGAAAACUUGGAAAACUGAAAAAUAAAAAAUCCAUAACUUUAUAAAUCAAAAAAAUAAUAAUGUAAAACCUAGAAGUCAAAAUAGAGAGAUCGCAACAUUAAAAAACUGAAAAAUCGAGUAAUCGAAAAUUUUAAAUUAAAAAAAAUCGAAUAUCAAAAUUGAAAAAUUUUAAAUAAAAAAUCGAUAAAUCAGGGAAUUAAACAAUCAAUAAAACGAAAAAUUGGAAAACCGAAAAACUGAAAAAUCAAAAAAAGAAAAAUGUAAAAGCGAGAAGUCGAAAUUGAGAAAUCGCAACAGUAAAAAAUUGAAAAAUCGAAAAAUUGAAACACCCAAAAGUCAGAAUUUGAAAAAUUAAAAUUAAGCAACCCAAAAAAUCGAAAAAUUGAAAAGUUUCCAAAAUUGAAAUGUUGAAAAAUUGAGAAAUCGAAAAGUUGACAAAUAGAAAAGUCGCAAAAUUGUAUAAAUCGAAUAAGAGAGAUGUCAAGAAAUCUAAACAUCAAAAAAUCGAAAUAUGUGAAAUUUAAAAAAUCGAAAAAUAGAAAAAUAAUGACUGAAAAAUCACAAAUUUAAAAAUUCGAAAAAUUGAAAAAUUAAAAUAUCAAAAAAUUUAAAAAAAAACGAGAAGUCUAAAGAUCGAUAAAUCAAACAUUAAAAAACUGAAAAAUCUAAAAUUUAAAAAACUGAAAAAUUAAAGUAUCGAAAAAUUCAAAACUCAACAAUCAAAAUCCGAAAAAUUAAAAUCGAACAACUCAAAAAAUCGAAAAAUUAAAAUAUCCAAAAAUCGAAAGAACCAGAAAUCACAUUACAUUAAAAACUGAAAUUUGAAAAGUUCGAACAAUUGAAAAAACAAAAAACUGAAAAAUCUAAAAUUUAAAAACUGAAAAAUUGAAGAAUCGAAGAACUGAAAAAUCUAAAAAGUCGAGAAAUUUAAAAGUCGAGGAAGAGAAAAAAUUCGAAAAUUUGAAAAAUAAAAAACCUGAAAAGUCGAAACAUUGAAAGGUAAAGAAAUCGAGAAAUGAGAAAAUCAAAAAAUUAAUUAAUCGAAAAAUUGAGAUAUCGCAUAACUGAAAUAUCGUAAAAUUGAGAAAUCAAAAUUAAAGAAAUUGGAGAAAUUGAAAAAAGAAAAACCGAAAAAUGAAAAACCGGGAACUCUUAAGAUCGAGAAAUUGAAACAACAAAAACUUUAAAAAUCUACAAUUUAAAAAUUUGAAAAAUUGACAAAUCGAAACUCUAAAAUUAAAAUAUCGAAAAAUUGAAAACGGAAAAGUCAAAACUCGAAAAAUUAAAAUCGAACAACCCAAACAAAUUGAAAAUGUAAAAUUAAAAAAAUCAAAAAAUUAAAAAUUAGAAAAAUUCAAGAAUCGAAAAAUCAAGAAAUCGAACAAUUGAAAAAUUAAAAAUCUGAAAAUUGAAAAUUUUCCAAAACUGCAAAGACGAAAAAUUGACAAAUUGAAUCGAAAUUCAAAAUCGAAAAAUAAAACAAAAAAUUUUAAAAAUCAAGAAAAGAAAAACCGAAAAUUCGAAAUCGAGAAAUCGAAAAAUCUUGAAUUAAAAAAAAACGAAAAAUUGAAGAACCGAAAGACUGAAAAAUCAAAAAAUCAAUAAUUUUAAAAUUGAAAAAAAGAAAAAUGUAAAACCGGGACGUCGAAAUCUUAAAUUAAAAAAAAAUUAAAAAUUGAAAAAUCGAAUCGACCAAAAUCGAAAACAUCAAAAUUUAGAAUAAAAAAUCGGUAAAUCAAGAAAUUGAACACUCAGAAAAUCGAAAAAUUGGAAAAUCGAGAAAUCGCUACAUUGAAAAACUAAAAAUUUUAAAAAUUGAUUAAUUAAAAUCGAACAACCCAAAAAAUCGAAAAAUUAAAAUAUCCAAAAAUUUAAAAAAACAGAAACUGUAUUGAAAUCGAAAACUUGAAAAAUUGAGAAAACGAAACUUGAAAAAAAAAAUUAAAAUUUGAAUAAUCGAAAAAUAUAAAAUUUUAAAAAUCAAGAGAAAAAAACAGUAAUCGAAAUCAAGAAAUCUAAAACUGAAAAAUCGAGUAAUCAAAAAAUCAAACAUUUAAAUAUCAAAAAAAUCUUAAAUUUAAAAAAAAAAUCGAAAAAUUGAAAAAUCGAAUCGGCCAAAAUCUAAAAAAAAAAAAGAAAAAUCCGAGAAAUCGAACAAUCCAAAAUUUAAGAAAUUGAAAAUUAAAAUAUCGAAAAAACACCCAAAAGUCAAAAUCUGAAAAAUUAGAAUCGAACAACCCAAAAAAUAGAAAAAUUAAAAUAUCCAAAAAUUGAAAAAACCAUGAAUUCAAAAGUUUCCAAAAUUCGCAGAAUUGUAAAAAUCGAAUAGCCGAGAUGUCAAGCAAUCGAAACAUCAAAAAAUCGAAAAAUGUAGAAUAUUAAAAAUCAAAAAAUUGAAAAAUAAAAAACAUGAAAAAACACAAAUUGAAAAAUUUGAAAAAUUAAAAUAUCCAAAAAUUGAAAAAACUAGAAAUUACAUAACAAAUUGAAAUUUUGAAAAAUUGGGAAAUCGAAAACUUGAAAAAUUGAGAAAACAAAAAACUUGAAAAGUCGAGAAAUCAAAAAUUCGAAAAGAUUUAAGAACGGAUAAAUUGAAAAAUUGUGAAAUCAAAAAGUCGAAAAUCUGAAAAAAUAAACGUGGAAAUCGAAAAAUUGAAGUAUUGAAAAACUGAAAAGUUGAAACAUUAAAAGUCCAAGAAAUCGAGAAAUAAAAAAAUCAAAAAAUCAGUGCAUCGAAAAAUUGAAAUAUCGCAUAACAGAAAUAUCGUAAAAUUGAGAAAUCAAAAAUAAAAAAAAAUCGACAAUACGAAAAUUUGGAGAAUAGAGAAAUUGAGAAUUGAGUAUAAGAGAAAUUGAAAAAUUGAAUAAAAAAAAAAUGAAAUAUCCCAAAAAACUAAAAUAUGGAAACAUUGGGAAGUCGAAAAAUGUAAAAUUUAAAAACUGAAAAAUUAAAAUAUUGGAAAAUUGUAAAUCAAAAAAAAAAAGAAAAACGUAAAAAUCUAAAAUUAAAAAAAUUGAAAAGUCAAAACCCGAAAAAUUAAAAUCGAACAACCCAAAAAAAAAGAAAAACUAACAUAUCCAAAAAUUGAAGAAUCUAGAAAUUGCAAUUUUGAAGAAUUGAGGAAUAGAAAACUUGAAAAAUUAAGAAAUCGAAAACUUGAAAAAUGAGAAAUCGAAAAAUGUAAAUUUUAAAAAUCGAAAACUGAAAAUUCCAAAAAUUGAAAAAUCGAAGAACUGAAAAAUCGAAAACAAAAACUUUAUAAAUUGAAAAAUUAAAACAUCAUAGAAUUAAAUCUAAAAGACGAGGAAUCGAAGGGUCGAAAAUUUGAAAAAAUAAACGUGAAAAUCGAGAAAUGAGAAAAACAAAAACUGAAAAAUCUAAAACUUAAAAAUUUGAAAAAAAUCGACAAAUCGCAACUCUGAAGUUAAAAAAUUGCAAAAUCAAAAUAUCGAAAAAUUGAAAAACCGAUAAUUCAAAACCCGAAAAAUUAAAAUCGAACAAUCCAAAAAAAAAAAUCGAAAAAUUAAAAUAUCCAAUAAUUGAAAAAUACAGAAAUUGA